rnacentral:rRNA from 1 species
UAAUACCGGAUAGGACCUCCUGCCGCAUGGUGGGGGGUGGAAAGCCUUGUGCGGUCUUGGAUGGGCUCGCGGCCUAUCAGCUUGUUGGUGGGGUGAUGGCCUACCAAGGCGACGACGGGUAGCCGGCCUGAGAGGGUGACCGGCCACACUGGGACUGAGACACGGCCCAGACUCCUACGGGAGGCAGCAGUGGGGAAUAUUGCACAAUGGGCGGAAGCCUGAUGCAGCGACGCCGCGUGGGGGAUGACGGCCUUCGGGUUGUAAACCCCUUUCGGCAGGGAACAAGCCUUUCGGGGUGAGGGUACCUGCGGAAGAAGCGCCGG